rnacentral:rRNA from 1 species
CCUACGGGAGGCUGCAGUGGGGAAUAUUGGACAAUGGGGGCAACCCUGAUCCAGCCAUGCCGCGUGUGUGAAGAAGGCCCUCGGGUUGUAAAGCACUUUCAGUGAGGAAGAACGCCUGGUGGUUAAUACCCAUCAGGAAAGACAUCACUCACAGAAGAAGCACCGGCUAACUCCGUGCCAGCAGCCGCGGUAAUACGGAGGGUGCGAGCGUUAAUCGGAAUUACUGGGCGUAAAGCGCGCGUAGGUGGCUUGAUAAGCCGGUUGUGAAAGCCCCGGGCUCAACCUGGGAACGGCAUCCGGAACUGUCAAGCUAGAGUGCAGGAGAGGAAGGUAGAAUUCCCGGUGUAGCGGUGAAAUGCGUAGAGAUCGGGAGGAAUACCAGUGGCGAAGGCGGCCUUCUGGACUGACACUGUCACUGAGGUGCGAAAGCGUGGGUAGCAAACAGGAUUAGAUACCCUGGUAGUC